rnacentral:misc_RNA from 1 species
UCUCCGUUGGUGAACCAGCGGAUGGAUCAUUGCUGGAACAAACGCCCUCACGGGUGCUACCCAGAAACCCUUUGUGAAUUAUUCUCUAUAACUGUUGCCUCGGCAUAGACUGGUCUUGUAACGAGACCCCUACUACUUUUUCUUUGCAAAAAGGACUAGGAGCAGGUCGGCCGGUGGCCUUUAUAAACUCUUGUUUUUACAAUGUAUCUUCUGAGUAAACAACUAUAAAUGAAUCAAAACUUUUAACAACGGAUCUCUUGGUUCUGGCAUCGAUGAAGAACGCAGC